GACGAACGCUGGCGGCGUGCUUAACACAUGCAAGUCGAACGGAAAGGCCCUGCUUGCCGGGUACUCGAGUGGCGAACGGGUGAGUAACACGUGGGUGAUCUGCCCUGCACUUCGGGAUAAGCCUGGGAAACUGGGUCUAAUACCGGAUAGGAGCCAUUUUUAGUGUGAUGGUUGGAAAGUUUUUUCGGUGUAGGAUGAGCUCGCGGCCUAUCAGCUUGUUGGUGGGGUAAUGGCCUACCAAGGCGGCGACGGGUAGCCGGCCUGAGAGGGUGGACGGCCACACUGGGACUGAGAUACGGCCCAGACUCCUACGGGAGGCAGCAGUGGGGAAUAUUGCACAAUGGGCGCAAGCCUGAUGCAGCGACGCCGCGGGGGGGAUGACGGCCUUCGGGUUGGAAACUCCUUUCGCUAGGGACGAAGCUUUUUGUGACGGUACCUAGAUAAGAAGCACCGGCUAACUACGUG
rnacentral:rRNA from 1 species